UCCCAGCAACACUCUUCCAGACCCACCAAUUUCCCGUAUCUCCCGUACUCCGACGUCGCUGCCUCUGGCUGGAUUCCCCCACCCGAAAACGCCAAGUACCCUACUCCUCCUCCGCCAAUCUCCGCCACAAAAUUAACCUUUCCGGUGCUGUUUCUGGUGUUGUUGGCGAUCUGGCAGAGCCGCCACGACUCUUGGAGAAGAGGCGUGGAGGCUAAGAAGUUGGCCAUCAUCUCGCUGCUCUCGAACCUAGUGAAGAAU
rnacentral:lncRNA from 1 species